AUUGAACGCUGGCGGCGUGCUUUACACAUGCAAGUCGAACGGUAACAGGCCGCAAGGUGCUGACGAGUGGCGAACGGGUGAGUAAUGCAUCGGAACGUGCCCAGUCGUGGGGGAUAACUACUCGAAAGAGUAGCUAAUACCGCAUACGAUCUAUGGAUGAAAGCGGGGGACCGUAAGGCCUCGCGCGAUUGUAGCGGCCGAUGUCAGAUUAGGUAGUUGGUGGGGUAAAGGCUCACCAAGCCAACGAUCUGUAGCUGGUCUGAGAGGACGACCAGCCACACUGGGACUGAGACACGGCCCAGACUCCUACGGGAGGCAGCAGUGGGGAAUUUUGGACAAUGGGCGCAAGCCUGAUCCAGCAAUGCCGCGUGCAGGAAGAAGGCCUUCGGGUUGUAAACUGCUUUUGUACGGAACGAAACGGCUCUGGUUAAUACCCGGGGCUAAUGACGGUACCGUAAGAAUAAGCACCGGCUAACUACGUG
rnacentral:rRNA from 1 species